GUACCAGUUGUUCUGCCAAGAGCAUCGCUGGGUAGCUAAGCCGGGAUGUGAUAAGAGCUGAAAGCAUCUAAGCUCGAAGCCAACUCCAAGAUGAAUCUUCUUUUAAGAGCUCUAGUAGACUACUAGCUUGAUAGGCUGGGUGUGUAAUGGAUGAAAGUCCUUUAGCUGACCAGUACUAAUAGCUCGUUUGCUUAUCUUUAUAUAAGCAUCACUUC
rnacentral:rRNA from 1 species